rnacentral:lncRNA from 1 species
GUAUUUCAGUCAUUUCUUUUAAAAUCCCACAAAUUAUUAUUUUCCACAAUGUUUGGGUUUGUAUCUUAUUUGCUUAGCAUUUUGUUUUGUCAUUUUAUUUGCUUAGCAAAUCUUCUUGGGUCUCAGAUAAUUCUUCUGCAGCCAUCAUAUAAAAAAUUUUCUUUAGAACGGCACUCUUGGUAGUAAAUUUUUCUAGCUCUUUGCUUAUCUUUUGGGUGCGGUGGCUCACACCUUGUUAUCUCAGUAAUUUGGGAAGCCAAGGUGGGAGGAUUGCUUGAGGCCAGGAGUUUGAGACCAGUCUGGGCAACAUAGCGAGACUACAUUUUUAUGAAAAAAAUUUAAAAAUUAGCUUGGCA